rnacentral:rRNA from 1 species
AACGAACGCUGGCGGCAUGCCUAACACAUGCAAGUCGAACGAAGCCUUCGGGCUUAGUGGCGCACGGGUGCGUAACGCGUGGGAAUCUGCCCUUGGGUUCGGAAUAACAGUUAGAAAUGACUGCUAAUACCGAAUGAUGUCUUCGGACCAAAGAUUUAUCGCCCAAGGAUGAGCCCGCGUCGGAUUAGCUAGUUGGUGAGGUAAAGGCUCACCAAGGCGACGAUCCGUAGCUGGUCUGAGAGGAUGACCAGCCACACUGGGACUGAGACACGGCCCAGACUCCUACGGGAGGCAGCAGUGGGGAAUAUUGCGCAAUGGGCGAAAGCCUGACGCAGCGACGCCGCGUGGGUGAUGAAGGCCU